AGGUAACCUACCCUUCGGACGGGCACAACCCCGGGAAACUGGGGCUAAUUCCCGAUAGGUACCCCCUUCUGGAAUGUGGGGAUAUCCAAAGCUCCGGCGCCGAAGGAUGGGCCUGCGGCCGAUUAGGUUGUUGGCGGGGUAACAGCCCACCAAGCCGACGAUCGGUACGGGCAGUGAGAGCUGUAGCCCGGAGAUGGGGACUGAGACAAGGCCCCAGGCCCUACGGGGCGCAGCAGGCGCGAAACCUUCACAAUGCACGAAAGUGUGAUGAGGGUACUCCGAGUGCGCAUACAUUGUAUGUGCUUUUCUGCAGCGUAAAUAGUUGCAGGAAUAAGGGCUGGGCAAGACCGGUGCCAGCCGCCGCGGUAACACCGGCAGCCCUAGUGGUGGCCGCUUUUAUUGGGCCUAAAGCGUCCGUAGCCGGACAGGCGAGUCUUUGGGUAAAUCCUACGUCUUAAGCGUGGGAAUUCUAAAGAUACUACCUGUCUUGAGGCCGGGAGAGGCUGGAGGUACUCCUGGGGUAGGGGUAAAAUCCUAUAAUCCUGGGGGGACCACCGAUGGCGAAGGCAUCCAGCUGGGACGGGCCUGACGGUGAGGGACGAAACCCAGGGGAGCGAGCCGGAUUAGAUACCCGGGUAGUCCUGGGCGUAAAUGAUGUGGGCUUGGUGUGAGCGCAUCGACGAGGUGCGCUUGUGCCGUAGGGAAGCCGUUAAGCCCACCGCCUGGGGAGUACGGUCGCAAGGCUGAAACUUAA
rnacentral:rRNA from 1 species